UAUAAAUGGUAGCGAAGGCGAGAAAAAAUACCAAAUCUGUGUUAGCAACACUGCGCCCUUCAUGAUACACAUGCGAGCGUGGUUGUUGAGGGGCAAACUACGAACGUAAACAAAAAUAAUUUGAUCGGAGGCGCGAAUAAUGUGUGUAUUAAUCCAAUAUGCAUAUUUUUAAUAUAGCAAUUCGCCCGGUCUGCCAGUAAUACGUAAGAUUAUAGACAGAGCCGAGUACGCUUCCGGUUCCUGUCCCUCAGCAUGUUGUUAGCUACGAGCUUGCCGUACGUUGACUGCGCGCUUUGUGACUGUUGAUAGCCGUUUUCUUCUUCAUCGUCGUCUUUUCAAUUUCAAACCACCAAGUCAAACAGGGGACACUUCUCGGAGAACUAAGGCUCUACCGGGAGACGCACCAUGUCGAGGCGCUACAUAAGCGGUGCCUCCUGAAGGAGAAAGGAAACUGUGACGCCGAUGACACUAUGGGCGGUAUAAGUUUCCACCGUUUUCCUCGGGACCCCUUGAGCUUUCAGUCUGUAUGGACACUCCCUGGAUAGGUCAUCCUUCCACAGUGAGGUGGUAAACAUGUAAAUAUUUAAGCAUGUGGCUGCUGGGCUGCUUUCAACGAGGAGUUUUGCAACGGUUUGCAUGUACGGGACACAAAGGGCUGUGCUGCAUGUGCUUACAUGUACCCAAUGCUAGCAUGUUGAUGGCUUGCUUUGCAUGCUGAUUUUUUCUUUUUUUUUUAACUCUGAAUGUAGGGCAUACAGGGUCAGGCUGCUGUAGCUAGUGCAUGUUUUCGUGGCACAGCUUUGCAUAAUUCUUCAACAAUAAAACUGCUUCGCAGGUACAAGGCGUGGCUGGAGUUUUGCAACCUGGAGGCGGAUACGAGUCUAAUUUCCAUUCGCUCUAAGGUCCUGUGCUCCCAGCACUUCGCACCAGUUGCUUAUUUGCGCACAGGAAGGCUUCGGUGGGAUGCAGUUCCUACAUUGAAGCGCACACUGCAUGGCGUUGGAGGAAGUAGUGCCUACGCCAAUCAGAGCAGACUUGAAAGCAGUGGGCCUUCAACGGAGGAACGUGUGCAAGCUGUGGUAGCC